AAACAACAGGGAGAGGAGAAAUGGGGCUUAGAGAUAUCACAGAGAAAACUGUCACCAACAGAUGUUGAACAGGACAAACCAAUAUGGAGAUUCUGUACUUUCCUGGACAAAAUGCUACAUCUCCCAGAAUCCCUGGCACGAAGGCAACAGACUCACUAGAGUGGAAUGUGUUUAUGAGCAACUGCGGAUCCUGACAGCAAAGGAGAAAGGUCUGCAGAGAAAGGCUGAUGAGAAAGGACUGACUGUGGAAAGCUAGCUGCCACAUCAUGACCAGCCCCUACAAAGAGGAGAGGAACCCAGGCCACCAGCCAGCAGCCGUGUGAGUGAGUUUGCAGUUGGAUCCUCCGGUCAGCCAAGCCUCCAGGAGACUGCCACACUGGGCAACAUUUUGGCUGGAACCUCAUGAGAGACUUGAAUCUUGCAGCUAAGAUGUUCCUGAAUACGUGCCCCUCAGAAACCACGUGAGAUAAUAAGUGUUUAUUGUCUUAAGAUGUUAAGCUUUGGGUUGAUUAUUACAGAACAACAGAGAAGUAAAACAGGUCACGAUGCAAACCCCAAGAAGCAGCUCUGCUGAUGGAGGAAGCUCCAAGGAGGCUGAAUGGGCUGAGGAAGGCUCCUGGAAGGGCUGAUGUUAGGGCUGAGUCUGGAAGGCUGAGUGGAGUUGGCCAGGUCAGGAAGGCAGGGAAGGGAGAGCUUGAGCCACUUCCACUUGUGAGAAACUCCAAGUGGUUCUAUCUGGCUUUGGCUCAGAGGCCUGUGGGCAAAGGACAGGGGAAGUGACGCGGGUCCAGUGGGCUUCAGGUUCCAUGCUGCAAAGUUCGAUCUUUAUACUGUGGCCAGAGGGGAGUCCCUGAAGACUUUUAACUAGAAGGACGACGAAAAGCUUGGGUUCUCAUGUUUAGAAGAUCACCCUGACCACACUGUGGCAGAAGGGCUGAAUGAAGCGGGCCAGACUGCAGCAGGCACCUCAGCUGGAGGCUGCAGUAACAUCCACCAAAUGGGAAGGAGAGCACGAUUACCCCUGGGCUACAGAUAAACACGUCAUGCUCAGAGGAAAUAAGGAACUGGUUCAAAGUCAGCAAGUAAAGGGGGUCAGAGGCCAAAACUACAGUGGUACAGCUGAAAAAUAUGCCAGGCCUCCUCUAACCGGGCAGUUUCCUCCCUCUCCAGGCUCCUUGUCUGCAAGUAGCUGGCCGGGGCCAGAGGCCCACUGGACCACAAGCGGCUUAGGGUCCCCAGAACCUCUUUAGGGGGAAGGAGGAGAGUCCAUAAGGUAGGACAGCACCUCCACAGUUGGGCUUAAGAGUCAUGGAAUGUUACAGCUGGAGGGACCCUUUGAAAAAGUCCAUAGUACUCCCUAACUUUAAUGAUGAGGAAACUAAGGUCCAGAAAGUUCUUGCCCAAGACCCUACAACCCCAAAGAAGCAGACAUGGUACUUGUUAUGGAUUGAAUUAUGUGCCCCCAAAAGGUAUGUUGAAUUCUUAACCCUGGUACCUACAAAUGUGAUCUCAUUUGGAAAUGGGGUCUUUGCAGAUGUGAUCAGGAUAAGAUGAAGUCAUCCUGGAUUAGGAUGGCCCUAAUACUAAUGGUGUCCUUAUAUGAAGAGGAGAAUUUGGACACUGAGACACACAGGGAGAAGAUCAUCAUGUGACCAUGGAGGCAGACAUUGGAGUGGUGCAUCCACAAGCCAGGGAAUGCCGUGGAUUGCCUGUGUCAGAUGAUGGCUCUCUCUCUCUAUAUAUAUAGGUCUCUGCCCCCCAUUCCUGGCACAGAGCUCCUGAAACCCUUGCAAUUUCCUGGGUGCUAGCAGCAUUUUUUGUUCUCAUGAGGUGACUCUGGGUAGGCUCCUGGAUGAAGGCUGGUCACCAUAAAGAACACGCCACAAUUAGAAGCUUGAUUCUCUUGAGAGGGGAGAAGGGCUGAAAAUGGAGUUAAUGAUCAAUCACACCUCUGUGAUGAAGACUCCAUAAAAUCCCAAAAGUAUGGGGUUCAGAGACCUUCUGGGUUGGUGCCUACAUGGAGGUGCUGAGACUGGCAUGCCCGGAGAGCACACAGAAGCUCCAUGCUCCUUCCCGCAUACCUUGCCCUAUCCAGCUUUUCCAACUGCCUGUUCAUCUGUAUCAUUUAUCGAAGCCUUUAGUAAACUGGCAAAUGUAAGUGUUUCCCUGAGUUCUGUGAGCCACUGCUGCAAACUAAUUGAAAUGGUCAUUGGAACAUCCAAACAGUUAUCCAAACAAUUAGUCCAUUUGUCAGAAGCACAAGUGAUAACCCAGGCUUGUGACUAGUGUCUGAAG